rnacentral:rRNA from 1 species
UACAGAGGGUGCGAGCGUUAAUCGGAAUUACUGGGCGUAAAGCGUGCGCAGGCGGUUUUGUAAGCCAGAUGUUAAAGCCCCGGGCUUAACCUGGGAAUGGCAUUUGGGACUGCAAGGCUUGAGUGCGGCAGAGGAGACUGGAAUUCCUGGUGUAGCAGUGAAAUGCGUAGAUAUCAGGAGGAAUACCGAUGGCGAAGGCAGGUCUCUGGGCUGACACUGACGCUCAUGCACGAAAGCGUGGGGAGCAAACAGG